rnacentral:rRNA from 1 species
GACGAGAAGCUUGCUUCUCUGAUGUUAGCGGCGGACGGGUGAGUAACACGUGGAUAACCUACCUAUAAGACUGGGAUAACUUCGGGAAACCGGAGCUAAUACCGGAUAAUAUUUUGAACCGCAUGGUUCAAAAGUGAAAGACGGUCUUGCUGUCACUUAUAGAUGGAUCCGCGCUGCAUUAGCUAGUUGGUAAGGUAACGGCUUACCAAGGCAACGAUGCAUAGCCGACCUGAGAGGGUGAUCGGCCACACUGGAACUGAGACACGGUCCAGACUCCUACGGGAGGCAGCAGUAGGGAAUCUUCCGCAAUGGGCGAAAGCCUGACGGAGCAACGCCGCGUGAGUGAUGAAGGUCUUCGGAUCGUAAAACUCUGUUAUUAGGGAAGAACAUAUGUGUAAGUAACUGUGCACAUCUUGACGGUACCUAAUCAGAAAGCCACGGCUAACUACGUGCCAGCAGCCGCGGUAAUACGUAGGUGGCAAGCGUUAUCCGGAAUUAUUGGGCGUAAAGCGCGCGUAGGCGGUUUUUUAAGUCUGAUGUGAAAGCCCACGGCUCAACCGUGGAGGGUCAUUGGAAACUGGAAAACUUGAGUGCAGAAGAGGAAAGUGGAAUUCCAUGUGUAGCGGUGAAAUGCGCAGAGAUAUGGAGGACACCAGUGGCGAAGGCGACUUU